rnacentral:rRNA from 1 species
UACGUAGGGUGCGAGCGUUAAUCGGAAUUACUGGGCGUAAAGCGUGCGCAGGCGGUCGUGCAAGUCAGAUGUGAAAUCCCCGGGCUUAACCUGGGAACUGCAUUUGUGACUGUACGGCUGGAGUGCGGCAGAGGGGGAUGGAAUUCCGCGUGUAGCAGUGAAAUGCGUAGAUAUGCGGAGGAACACCGAUGGCGAAGGCAAUCCCCUGGGCCUGCACUGACGCUCAGGCACGAAAGCGUGGGGAGCAAACAGG